GAAAGAUGAACCACUAACCGAUUCCAAGGAGAAAUUCAAAAUUGAGUUCUUCUAUACUGUGGUGGAUACCACUAUUAUAUCUUUGGAUGAGUGCUUUGGCCAGCUGUAAAUUCAUAAAAAUGUAUGGGGAUGCCUGUAAAACAUAAAGUGUCUGCCAGCAAGGGAAAAUUUAAAGGAUUACUGCAUGCUGUUACAAAGGGCUUUGAAAGGAUAGCCAGUCACAUAGAGAUGGCAUAGAGAUGGUAUAGAUGGAUUAAUUUCUGUCUCUCUUCCUCAAUGUACAAGUAAGGUGACAGUUAUAUAAAAUCAUACACAAUAAAAUCAGGACUAUAAUAACAAAAAGGAUAGAAGAAUGAUUUCAUUAUCUGGGAUCCAGUAGGGGACCAACCAGUAAAGCAUUGUACCAAUGAUGGGCUAAGUCAUUCUGAAUUUGUGAACUCACCUUAAGGAGUUCUCCUUUUAGGAUAUGUGUGGCUACCUGUGUGUGUUAUCUUUGGGAAAAAUAUAGUCCCCUGUGUAUGUGGGUGCCCACCAGGUUAAAUUCUUGGCAAAAAGAUCAUAAACUGGUACUGGUAAUGUGUUAAAUUGACAAGCUAAUUUAACAUCCUUUGAUGAUGUAUGAUAUAAUGUAAAAUAGCAUGAGCAUGAAAAAUGUGAAACAUUACCAGUUAACCAUCCAUUGCAUUUAGUGGAUUGGGGUUUUAGAAGUAACCAUUCAUUAUCUGUGAGGUUACGCUUUCCUCUAAUCUUCUCUAGUUUAGGAAUCAUUAGUGUGUUUUUUAAUGCCAAUCCUUGUUGUUGUAUCCAUAAAUACCUGAUGGCACAAGUACUCCAGUUACUUAGACCUGUAGUGAAUUUCAUAGUUGCAACAGUUAAAUUAUCUAAAUAAUUAUACAUUGAUUUAUCUAAAUCCAAUCCUGUAACCUGUGAUUUAACAACAGUUGGAGCCCAGUUUGCAGUAUCAUGGAAACCAGUCCCUAUAUGCAUGCUGGCCGUAUUUAACUUAUUCUUGAGGGUCUCCAUAUCUAUAACUAUUUAGUAUACCCAUAGUGGUUCCAGCACCUCCUAACAGUGUGUCAUACCAUUCCCUUUUCUGCCUUUGUUUGCUGUUACAUAAUGUUACAACAGGAGUAGUGAUUUUUAAUGACACAUGUACAGCUUGUAAGAAGGCAGUUGUAUUAAUACAUGUGGACGAAAUAGGUGUGUGUGUGUCGUUGUUGACUUUUGGUUCUAUGGUAGAGGAUAAAGGACAGUAAUAAGGUGUAAAAAUAUAAGGUAGUGUAUAGUUCUCAAUUGCAGUGUCGUUCAUAAUGACUAACAUUUGUCCCCUUUUCCGAUUAAUGAUACCAGUUAUAUAAUCAUUAUUAAAAGUAAUAAGGCCUGUCUGUUUACAUUGUUAUGCAACCUUAACUGUGCACAUUUCUGCGUUAUAAGAUCUAACAAUUUUCUGUGAACCUUCAAACAAACAUAAUGCAUCGGUUUCAUUAGCUGUGGACACAUUUGAUAUGGGUAACUGGUACUUAUAAGGGUUACUAUUUGUCCAAUUCAUCCAAAUGCGUUCAGUCAAUGAGUGCUUGCAUAUUACAUGCUGAUAGAAAGGUGGUGAAGAAAGGUUCUUGAGGGGGCGUGUGUGACGAAUGCUAGAUGAGGAGCUAAGGCCUAAUUGGGCUGGGGGUAUUGAAGAAUUGUUCAUCAUGUCAGAGUCUUUUUUCCAGAAACAAACACGUUUCAAACUUGCCAUUGACUUGUACUCAUAAUGGCAUUCAAGGAACAAUAUCAGAGGGAGUAUAACAACUCCAGAAAGCAUAGCGCACAACAUAAUCUUGGUCUCUGGUACGUAUGAUCCUCUCAAUCUACAAUAUGGUGUGAAAGCCAUGAUGCUUUGCUGAGGAGAAAUUCUUCUGUUUCCGAGCGAGGAGUGGUGUUGUCUUCCUUGGUUCCCCUCUUUGGACACAGCUUCACUCGGGAUGUGUGAAUCCAGAUGUCAUGGGAAUCUGUGAGGACAGCGGUUCUGGGUACAGCAAUCACAGUAGCAGGUGGUCCAAAAGGGUAUCCUCCUUUCUUGGUCCUGUUCAGCUGACGGAUAUACACCUUGUCACCGGGCUGGUAUGGAUGAGUAGGUUCCUGUGAAGGUAAGGGAAAACUGCGAAGAAACAUUGUCAUACAUACCAUUCGGUUUUAUCAACAAUUCCUGUACAUAUUGUUCUUGUAUUAGCUGUAAAUCCCCAGACAUUAUAACAAGCGGUUCCCUGGCCCAGGGUGUGGGAAAAAGUCAUCCCAUCAAAAUCUCA
rnacentral:lncRNA from 1 species